UACGUAGGGUGCGAGCGUUAAUCGGAAUUACUGGGCGUAAAGCGUGCGCAGGCGGUUUGUCAAGUCAGAUGUGAAAGCCCCGGGCUCACCCUGGGAAUGGCGUUUGAAACUGGCAGGCUAGAGUUUGGCAGAGGGGGGUGGAAUUCCACGUGUAGCAGUGAAAUGCGUAGAGAUGUGGAGGAACAACGAUGGCGAAGGCAGCCCCCUGGGAUAACACUGACGCUCAUGCACGAAAGCGUGGGGAGCAGACAGG
rnacentral:rRNA from 1 species